rnacentral:rRNA from 1 species
ACGAACGCUGGCGGCGUGCUUCACCCCUGCCAGUCGAACGGAAAGGCCCUGCUUUUGUGGGGUGCUCGAGUGGCGAACGGGUGAGUAACACGUGAGUAACCUGCCCUUGACUUUGGGAUAACUUCAGGAAACUGGGGCUAAUACCGGAUAGGAGCUCCUGCUGCAUGGUGGGGGUUGGAAAGUUUCGGCGGUUGGGGAUGGACUCGCGGCUUAUCAGCUUGUUGGUGGGGUAGUGGCUUACAAGGCUUUGACGGGUAGCCGGCCUGAGAGGGUGACCGGCCACAUUGGGACUGAGAUACGGCCCAGACUCCUACGGGAGGCAGCAGUGGGGAAUAUUGCACAAUGGGCGGAAGCCUGAUGCAGCAACGCCGCGUGCGGGAUGACGGCCUUCGGGUUGUAAACCGCUUUCGCCUGUGACGAAGCGUGAGUGACGGUAAUGGGUAAAGAAGCACCGGCUAACUACGU